rnacentral:lncRNA from 1 species
ACAGGCUCAUUCUUUUGAGGAGCCCACCCUGCUCCACUGUUCAGGGUAUCUCUUCUUUCCGAGCUCCUACGCCUUUAGAUAAAGGGCACUUACCUGCUUAACUCUUUCUGCGUGUCUCUUGACUGAAUUCAAGGAGACCAAGAACCAGAGGACUUCCACGCCCCUCCUGGUAACAUCUGGUGUUUUCCCCUGGUGGCCUGUGAACUGUUCUUCUGGGUAAGUGCCAAAAAGCUGGUGCCAGAUCCUCUGGUUGACGACCUCUGCUUCUUUCUGCACUGAAGAACCUCCUGCCCUAAUGCAGAUCUUGCAGCCUUAAGGGGAGGGGCUUUUCCUCUCGGGCUCUGUUCACUAUCAACUGCCCAGUACCAUUUCCCUUCAGCCACUGUCACUCUGCUCCCUCUGGCUGACUUCUCAGCUCACCCUGAGGGGUGACAAGCAGAGGAGGGAGGAUUUAAACUCCACAGUGAGUAGAUCUGAGACACGGUGACCCUCCCUGCAGGAGGCUUGUGAAGGUGGCAGAAAAUCCACCCUGGCUGUGCAGUGACUGGGGAGCUUCAUAUCUUCAACUAAAACUACUAUUCCAUGUUGAGUCGGCUCUUCUACUUGCUGUUCAUGGCAGUUCAUUCUCCUGGACACAAUAUGCCGCCACCGGUGAAUAAUCCCCCAGGUCACUCUGCUU